AUGGACUUUGUGGAAGGACUGCCUAAAUCAAAUGGACACAGUGUCAUUAUGGUAGUGGUGGACAGAUACUCUAAGUACAGCCACUUUAUUCCCCUCAAGCAUCCAUAUUCUGCUGCUACAGUUGCUCAAAUGUUCAUGCAACAUGUUGUCAAGCUUCACAGCAUGCCUCUGACAAUCACUUCUGACAGAGAUACCAUCUUCACUAGCCAUUUCUGGAAGGAAUUGUUGGCAAUCUGGGGUCCCAAAUUACAGAUGUCCACUGCUCGACAUCCUCAAACCGAUGGGCAAACGGAAAGAGUGAACCAAUGCUUGAAAAUGUACCUGAGAUGUGCGGUACAUGACUCUCCCACCAAGUGGCAUAAUUGGCUAGCUCUGGCAGAAUUAUGGUACAACACUACUUAUCACUCCUCUUUGGGCUGCUCCCCUUUCAAGCCUUUGUAUGGGCAAGAUCCUCACAUGGGACAGUUCCUUAGACCUCCUGAAGAGGCAUCUCCUGAUGUGCAGUAG
rnacentral:rRNA from 1 species